rnacentral:lncRNA from 1 species
UGAAGAUUAUAGCUGCUUUGAAUGUUAUGAAUGCUCAGGGUGUGUGUUAACAAAUGGAAGAGCUAGUAUUUGAAAUUACAUCUGUCUGAAACCAAAAUCUGAGCUUCUAACCCCUAUUGAACAACAGUUUGAACUGCAAAGGUCCACCUGAUUUUUUUCUACCUCUGCCACCUCUGAAACAGCAAGAUCAGCCCUUGCUCUUCCUUCUGCUCCUACUCAACAUGAAGGCACAAAGACGAAGACUUUAUAAUGAUCCAUUUUUACUUA